rnacentral:rRNA from 1 species
AUACGGAGGGUGCAAGCGUUAUCCGGAAUCAUUGGGUUUAAAGGGUCCGUAGGCGGGUUUGUAAGUCAGUGGUGAAAGUUUUCGGCUCAACCGGAAAAUUGCCAUUGAUACUGCAAGUCUUGAAUCAUUAUGAAGUGGUUAGAAUGUGUAGUGUAGCGGUGAAAUGCAUAGAUAUUACACAGAAUACCGAUUGCGAAGGCAGAUCACUAAUAAUGUAUUGACGCUAAGGGACGAAAGCGUGGGUAGCGAACAGGAUUAGAAACCCCAGUAGUCC